GAUGAAGAACGCAGCGAAAUGCGAUAAGUAAUGUGAAUUGCAGAAUUCAGUGAAUCAUCGAAUCUUUGAACGCACAUUGCGCCCUUUGGUAUUCCGAAGGGCAUGCCUGUUCGAGCAUCAUUUCACCACUCAAGCCUGGCUUGGUAUUGGGCGCCGCGGUCGAUCCGCGCGCCUCAAAGUCUCCGGCUGAGCUGUCCGUCUCUAAGCGUUGUGAUUUCAUUAAUCGCUUCGGAGUGCGGGCGGCCGCGGCCGUUAAAUCUUUCACAAGGUUGACCUCGGAUCAGGUAGGGAUACCCGCUGAACUUAAGCAUAUCAAUAAGCGGAGGA
rnacentral:misc_RNA from 1 species